UUGGAUCUUGUGUUGCUGUGGCUCUGGCGUAGGCCAGCAGCUGUAGCUCCGAUUCAACCCCUAGCCUGGGAAGCUCCAUAUGCUAUGGGUGCGGCCCUAAAAAGCAAAAAAAAAAAAAAAAAAAAAAAAAAAAAAAGAGCGAAGUUGAUACAUAUAGCAACCUGGAUGAAUUCCCAGAGAAUUAUGUUGAGUGAAAAAAAAAUCCAAUUUCAAAAGGUUACGUACUGUAUGAUACCAUUUAUGUAACAUUCUGAAAAUGACAAGAAUUAUAGAAAUGGUAGUGGUUGAUAUCUUUCAGGAGUCGGGUUGGAUACAGGACCUUGGUGGGUGUGGUUAUAAAAGAGCACAUGAAGUAUUUUUGUGUUAAUGGACAUGGUCAGCGUCUUGACUAUCAAUAUCAGUAUCCUGGUGGAUACUGAUGGAUUGAAGGAAUGUGGGUCAGUAGUAAAAGGAUUAUCUUUGUACUAUUUCUUACAACUGCAUGUGAAUAUAUAAUAAUCUUAUAAAAGUUUAUUAAAAGACACUAGUCUUGAAUCGUUGAUUUGCCAAACCUCUUUUUUGGGGGGACUUUACCCAUGGCAUAUGGAAGUUCCUGGACCAGGGAUUGAAUCUGUACCACAGCAGCAACCUGAGUCAUAGCAGUUACAAUGCUGGAUCCUUAACAUGCUGAGCCACUAGGGAACUCCAUGUCAGAUCUCUUUUGUGUGAAUUUCAAGUUGUCUAAACAAAACUUCAUUUUAAACACAAGUACAGUAUCAUCUUAAUGUCUGGAACUCAUCUGUUUAGUCAGUUAAAUGGUCUUGCACACAGCAGAAAUAUAGAAUAAAAAGGAUUUUGAACAGCUAAAAGAGGCACAACAAUGUGUACUAGAACUCACAUUGGAUGUAUUUCAAUGUACCCCUCACUUGGAGCUUUAAAUCAUAAUUCUGAUAAAUCUUGUUUUUAUGUCCAUGGCAGAUUUAGAAGGUAGAAGAGGGUUGAUAGAAUGAUACAUUGAUCAUUAUUACAAGUGGCAGCUCACUUGCCUGAGUGCAAGCGAGGAGACAAACAUAUAAAAUAGCGUCAUCUGGGACAAUUUAAUGUAGAGGGCAUCCAGAAAAGGUGAAAUUAUAGUUAUAUCUUCUGUUUUGUUAGGUAGAAAUGUGUGUUAUACAUUUAGGAUUCCCUUUCAAAGUUGAAAAAAAAAUUUUUUUUCUAGUGGUUUAAAACCUUCAGCUUAAAAAAAAAUCGAAACCCCCCCCCAGGUUUCUGAAGACACACCUUAAGUUCCUGGGAGGGGUGGGGCAUCUUUCUUGAUUUGGAAAUGAAGUGGUUUGACUGUUUGAUCCCCUGUUUCCUACAAGACUGUAGGUUAAAGGAUAGUGAGGUUGUCCUCGUUUGGACCAGUUUAGACAUCAGCUGUACUGUUGGGAAAAGGGAAUAAGCAUAAUAGGGUGGGAGCAGAUAGAGUGGGGAAUGUAUUUCCUGAGGUGGUGGUCAAUUGUAUAAAACUGUUUUCAGCUUUUCAAAGGAUCUGCAAAGUGGAAAAUAUUUUUAUGAUAGUACUAAGUUGUUUCAUUUGUUUUUGCUGUGUUGACAUCUGCACUGAUGGUGUCAGAGCAGCAGAAAAUAAAUCUGCUUCUGCCUGAGUACAAAAUAAGGUUAGUGGCAUCAAACUCUACCAGUGGACAUUGUGUCCUUCACUAUGCAGGUAUAGUUGAAAAGAGAAAAAAAAGGCAGUUUCUCUCUUUUUUUCUAAUUUCAUUUUUAUUUUUUACCAUCAUCAGGAGUUUAUUGAGUGCUUUUAGAUCACCAUUUACAUAUUUGAAUGAUGAUUUUACCCCAGCUAAUGAACAGAAUUCCUGUCAGUGUGCUAUUUCUUAUGAGUAUAUAUCUAUAUUUUCAUUGUUUCUAAUUAUUUUUUCUCCUUCAGUCUGCAGUACUUUGUUUUCUUUAUAAUUAUUCAAUGAAUUUUAUUACUUUAUAGUUUUGUACAACGAUCAUCACAACCCAAUUUUAUAGCAUUUCCAUCCCACACCCCCAGCCCAUGCCCCCAACCCCAACCCAUCACCUUUGGAAACCAUAAGUUUUUCAAAGUCUGUGAAUCAGUAUCUGUUCUGCAAAGAAGUUCAUUGUGUUCUUUUUUAAGAUUCCACAUGUAAGUGAUAGCAUAUGACGUUGGUGUCUCACUGUAUGACUAACUUCACUUAGCAUGAUACUUUCUAGGUCCAUCCAUGUUGCUGCAAAUGCUGUUAUUUCUUUCCUUUUAAUGGCUGAAUAAUAUUCUAUUGUAUAUAUGUACCACUCGCCAGUUUCUAUUUAAAAAAUGUCUUUGAACAGUAAAUGUUACUAACUUUAUUAAAUAUAGAUCCUUAAACAUAUGUCUUAAUAUUGUUUAAUGAAAAGGGAAGUAUGCAUGAAGCACAUCUUCAAACUGAAUUGUAAUGAUCACCUUGAAGAAAUCAACAUUGUAACAUUGUAAUGUCUGCAAAGUGCUAAUCACUUUUUUCACUUACAGUAUUUUACUUAGAAGAAUAGAUGACAGACAAGCUUUUUUCAUACUUGUAUAUUAGGCAUAUAUUUUUUUCUAAAUAAGUGAAGUGAACUUAUUCCUUCAAGGAAAACAACUGAUAGCAUUGUUGUCCAUUUUAUUAUUAUUAUUAUUUUUGUCUUUUUAUGGCCGCUCCCACAGCAAUAUGGAGGUUCCCAGGCUAGGGGUCAAAUCGGAGCUUUAGCUGCUGGCCUACACCACAGCCACAGCAAU
rnacentral:lncRNA from 1 species